rnacentral:ncRNA from 1 species
AAUCUUCGGGGCAGGGUGAUAAUUCCCUACCGGCAGUUAAAGUCUGCGAGCUAAAAAGCAUGAUCCGGUGUAAUUCCGGAACCGACAGUAAAGUCUGGAUGAAAGAAGAUA